AUGGCCCAAGUGUUUGAGACCCUAAACCCAUAGAAGAGAACUGGAUGAAAUUCCAGGCUCCUGGCUUUAGCCUGCCCCAGCCUUGGUAAUUGUAGCCAUUUGGGAAGUGAACUAGUGGAUGGGAGACUCUUUCUCUCUCUCUCUCUAACUUGCCUUUCAAUAGAUAUUAUUUAAAACAUUAAUCUUUGUUUCUAUUCUUGAUUUGUUUCUGUUUUUCAGAACUGAAAAUCAUAAAGACUAUCCUUUCCGUGCAGAGUACUGAGGACAGCUUCCUUCUUCCUCACUUCCAGACCAAUGGAUGCCAACGAUCGCAUCAUCAAAAAAGGAAUGAAUUGUUUGAGAAUAUCUCAUCUUUAAUCACCCUUGUGUUGUUGGAAUAAGGCCUUCAUUGUCAAGAACUCAUUCUUUGAUAAUAACUGCUGUUUGUGAUAUGUGUUUCAUAUUCAUUCUGACAGAUAUGAGAAACAAAACCAGCACUACCAAGGAAGCUAUAAAGGAUUAUGCUGCAGUUUACAAGAGUGGGGAUAAGUGAUCACUGUUCACCAAGUGUAUUUCAGCAUGCAGACAAUUAGGAAACAAAUGACAUAAGGAUACCAUUUGAGUUAGUAGGUUUAUCAUAGUUCUCUGCCCUUAGGAAACAUAGGGGUGAUUUUAAUGUAUUUCUUAUGAAAUGGACUUACAUAAAAGAACUUCAAAAAUUGUGUAUGGAGAUAUGUCAUUUAUUAUUCCUCUCUACAUGGCGAUUUGCUCUUGUGGGGCUCCAGAUUGUUCAACUGAAGAAUAAAUAUGUAUUAAUAUUGAUUGAGUAUAAUGUAAUUUUUUAUUUCUAAAAUAUUGCUCUUCAUACCAUAUCUGUAAGCACCAUGUAAGAGAGAGGAAUUGUAGCACCAUGUAAGAGAGAGGAAUUUCCAUUGAUAUUCAGUUGCAAUUCUC
rnacentral:lncRNA from 1 species